AGAGUUUGAUCCUGGCUCAGGAUGAACGCUAGCUACAGGCUUAACACAUGCAAGUCGAGGGGCAUCAGGAAGAAAGCUUGCUUUCUUUGCUGGCGACCGGCGCACGGGUGAGUAACACGUAUCCAACCUGCCCUUUACUCGGGGAUAGCCUUUCGAAAGAAAGAUUAAUACCCGAUGGCAUAAUGAUUCCGCAUGGUUUCAUUAUUAAAGGAUUCCGGUAAAGGAUGGGGAUGCGUUCCAUUAGGUUGUUGGUGAGGUAACGGCCCACCAAGCCUUCGAUGGAUAGGGGUUCUGAGAGGAAGGUCCCCCACAUUGGAACUGAGACACGGUCCAAACUCCUACGGGAGGCAGCAGUGAGGAAUAUUGGUCAAUGGGCGCUAGCCUGAACCAGCCAAGUAGCGUGAAGGAUGAAGGCUCUAUGGGUCGUAAACUUCUUUUAUAUAAGAAUAAAGUGCAGUAUGUAUACUGUUUUGUAUGUAUUAUAUGAAUAAGGAUCGGCUAACUCCGUGCCAGCAGCCGCGGUAAUACGGAGGAUCCGAGCGUUAUCCGGAUUUAUUGGGUUUAAAGGGAGCGUAGGUGGACUGGUAAGUCAGUUGUGAAAGUUUGCGGCUCAACCGUAAAAUUGCAGUUGAUACUGUCAGUCUUGAGUACAGUAGAGGUGGGCGGAAUUCGUGGUGUAGCGGUGAAAUGCUUAGAUAUCACGAAGAACUCCGAUUGCGAAGGCAGCUCACUGGACUGCAACUGACACUGAUGCUCGAAAGUGUGGGUAUCAAACAGGAUUAGAUACCCUGGUAGUCCACACAGUAAACGAUGAAUACUCGCUGUUUGCGAUAUACAGUAAGCGGCCAAGCGAAAGCAUUAAGUAUUCCACCUGGGGAGUACGCCGGCAACGGUGAAACUCAAAGGAAUUGACGGGGGCCC
rnacentral:rRNA from 1 species